UGUGCAGGCGGUCUUAUAAGUGGUGUAUGAAAUCACCCGGCUCAACCGGGUGGGGUUAUGCCAGACUGUAGGACUGGAGGGGGUGAGAGGGGCAUGGAAUUCCGGGUGUAGUGGUGAAAUGCGUAGAGAUCCGGAGGAACCCCAGAGGCGAAGGCGGUGCCCUGGCACCCCCCUGACGCUCAGACACGAUAGCAUGGGGAGCGAACGGGAUUAGAAACCCCGGUAGUCCAUGCCGUAAACGAUGUCGACUAGGCGCUGGUGGUCUCAACCCCAUCGGUGCCGUAGGUAACCCGCUAAGUCGACCACCUGGGAAGUACGACCGCAAGGUUAAA
rnacentral:rRNA from 1 species